CCAAUAGCGUAUAUUAAAGUUGUUGCAGUUAAAAAGCUCGUAGUUGAAUUUCGGGAUUGACGUGACGGUCGUGCCUUAAGGGGUAUGAACUGUCGCCGUUGAUUUCUCACCUUCUGGAGAAGCUCGAUGUCCUUAAUUGGAUGUCUUGUGGAACCAGGACCUUUACCUUGAAAAAAUUAGAGUGUUUAAAGCAGGCAUUUUGCUCGAAUACAUUAGCAUGGCAUAAUAGAAUAGGACGGCAUGGUUCUAUUUUGUUGGUUUCUAGGAUCACCGUAAUGAUUAAUAGGGAUAGUUGGGGGCAUUAGUAUUCAAUUGUCAGAGGUGAAAUGCUUGGAUUUAUUGAAGACUAACUACUGCGAAAGCAUUUGCCAAGGAUGUUUUCAUUAAUCAAGAACGAAAGUUAGGGGAUCGAAGACGAUCAGAUACCGUCGUAGUCUUAACCAUAAACUAUGCCGACUAGGAAUCAGACGAUGUUAAUUUUUUAAUGACUCGUUUGGCACCUUACG
rnacentral:rRNA from 1 species